UGUAAGCGUAUACCAAAGUUGCUGCAGUUAAAAAGCUCGUAGUUGGAUUUCGGGUGGGAAUGGCCGGUCCGCCGUUUCGGUGUGCACUUGCUACGCCCACCUUGCUGCCGGGGACGUGCUCUUGAGUUCACGCUCGGGACACGGAGUCGGCGAGGUUACUUUGAGUAAAUUAGAGUGUUCAAAGCAGGCCUACGCUCUGAAUACAUUAGCAUGGAAUAACACGAUAGGACUCUGGCCUAUCUUGUUGGUCUGUAGGACCGGAGUAAUGAUUAAGAGGGACAGUCGGGGGCAUUCGUAUUUCAUUGUCAGAGGUGAAAUUCUUGGAUUUAUGAAAGACGAACUACUGCGAAAGCAUUUGCCAAGGAUGUUUUCAUUAA
rnacentral:rRNA from 1 species